rnacentral:rRNA from 1 species
GGUGAGUAACACGUGGGUAACCUGCCCAUAAGACUGGGAUAACUCCGGGAAACCGGGGCUAAUACCGGAUAACAUUUUGAACUGCAUGGUUCGAAAUUGAAAGGCGGCUUCGGCUGUCACUUAUGGAUGGACCCGCGUCGCAUUAGCUAGUUGGUGAGGUAACGGCUCACCAAGGCAACGAUGCGUAGCCGACCUGAGAGGGUGAUCGGCCACACUGGGACUGAGACACGGCCCAGACUCCUACGGGAGGCAGCAGUAGGGAAUCUUCCGCAAUGGACGAAAGUCUGACGGAGCAACGCCGCGUGAGUGAUGAAGGCUUUCGGGUCGUAAAACUCUGUUGUUAGGGAAGAACAAGUGCUAGUUGAAUAAGCUGGCACCUUGACGGUACCUAACCAGAAAGCCACGGCUAACUACGUGCCAGCAGCCGCGGUAAUACGUAGGUGGCAAGCGUUAUCCGGAAUUAUUGGGCGUAAAGCGCGCGCAGGUGGUUUCUUAAGUCUGAUGUGAAAGCCCACGGCUCAACCGUGGAGGGUCAUUGGAAACUGGGAGACUUGAGUGCAGAAGAGGAAAGUGGAAUUCCAUGUGUAGCGGUGAAAUGCGUAGAGAUAUGGAGGAACACCAGUGGCGAAGGCGACUUUCUGGUCUGUAACUGACACUGAGGCGCGAAAGCGU